rnacentral:misc_RNA from 1 species
CCAUAAUAAAUCGCGUCCUGGACACCCAGGGCAACGCGGUAUCACCCUUGAUUUUGAGCACCUUUUGUUUCCUCGGCGGGGACGCCCGCCAGCGAGGACCCCUUUGAACUCUUUGCAUUAGCAGUAUUUGUCUGAAAAUAAACCAAAUAAUCA